GAUGAAGAACGCAGCGAAAUGCGAUAAGUAAUGUGAAUUGCAGAAUUCAGUGAAUCAUCGAAUCUUUGAACGCACCUUGCACUCCUUGGUAUUCCGAGGAGUACGCCUGUUCGAGUGAUAUGAAGCUCUCAAAACGCAAUUGGCUUAAAACCUGAUUGUUGUUUUGGAUUUGAACUUUGCCGUGUUAUAACGGCUGGUUUUAAAAGUAUUAGCUGGUACUAGAACGAAUUGGUUCUACUCAACGUGAUAAUUAUCUGAUCGUUGAGGACAUUCCUUUCACGAGGAAUGGCCAUAGUAAAUGCAAUGGACUGCUUCUAAUCUGGCUUUAAUUCUUUAUUGGAUUAACCACUUUUCAAAUCUGACCUCGAAUCAGGUGGGACUACCCGCUGAACUUAAGCAUAUCAAUAAGCGGAGGA
rnacentral:misc_RNA from 1 species